rnacentral:lncRNA from 1 species
AAGAUCGUCGCCAAAUUCCGCCAUCAUCUCCACCUUCGCAGAUCAUCCCAUGAAUUGCAACAGGUUCUGGUUUCCUACCUUACUAAUGCUGCAAUUUAGUUAUCCCUAUCCGAAAAAAAAAAAAAAAAAUGUUCCUAUAUUGCUGCAUAAACUUUUUGUCACAAAGUUUUCUUCUUUACAACGAAAGAUACAUUGUAUAAUUUCAGCCGCAUAACACUAUUUGUUUGAUCUUGAUACUAUAUUUUCUCUGUCAUAUAAACUAAGAUAUUACUGUCAAUUCCCUCCUCAAAUCUCUCGAAUUUUUGGUGGAGAUUUCGUCGAGAAACCGCUGUUUCUUCGACGAUAAUUCUGCUCUUACAAGACAACACAAUUCUGCAG